CCUACGGGAGGCAGCAGUGAGGAAUAGUGGUCAAUGGACGAGAGUCUGAACCAGCCAAGUAGCGUGAAGGAUGACUGCCCUAUGGGUUGUAAACUUCUGUUAUAGGGGAAUAAAAUGUGCCACGUGUGGGAUUUUGUAUGUACCAUAUGAAUAAGGAUCGGCUAACUCCGUGCCAGCAGCCGCGGUAAUACGGAGGAUCCGAGCGUUAUCCGGAUUUAUGGGGUUUAAAGGGAGCGUAGGUGGAUUGUGAAGUCAGUUGUGAAAGUUUGCGGCUCAACCGUAAAAUUGCAGUUGAAACUGGCAGUCUUGAGUACCGUAGCGUUGGGCGGCUUUCGUGUUGUAGC
rnacentral:rRNA from 1 species